AUGAACAAAGCUAGUGGAGGUAAUGAAAUUCCAGUUGAGCUAUUUCAAAUACUGAAAGAUGAUGCUGUGAAAGGGCUGCACUCAAUAUGCCAGCAAAUUUGGAAAACUCAGCAGUGGCCACAGGACUGGAAAAGGUCAGUUUCCAUUCCAAUCCCAAAGAAAGGCAAUGCCAAAGAAUGCUCAAACUACUGCACAAUUGCACUCAUCUCACACACUAGUAAAGUAAUGCUCAAAAUUCUCCAAGCCAGGCUUCAGCAAUAUGUAAACCAUGAACUUCCAGAUGUUCAAGCUGGUUUUAGAAAAUGCAGAGGAACCAGAGAUCAAAUUGCCAACAGCCGCUGGAUCAUGGAAAAAGCAAGAGAGUUCCAGAAAAACAUCUAUUUCUGCUUUAUUGACUAUGCCAAAGCCUUUGACUGUGUGGGUCACAAUAAACUGUGGAAAAUUCUUCAAGGGAUGGGAAUACCAGACCACCUGACCUGCCUCUUGAGAAACCUAUAUGCAGGUCAGGAAGCAACAGUUAGAACUGGACAUGGAACAACAGACUGGUUCCAAAUAGGAAAAGGAUUACAUGAAGGCUAUAUAUUGUCACCCUGCUUAUUGAACUUCUAUGCAGAGUACAUCAUGAGAAACGCCGGGCUGGAAGAAGCACAAGCUGGAAUCAAGACUGCCAGGAGAAAUAUCAGUAACCUCAGAUAUGCAGAUGACACCACCCUUAUGGCAGAAAGUGAAGAGGAACUAAAAACCCUCUUGAUGAAAGUAAAAGAGGAGAGUGAAAAGGUUGGCUCAAAGCUCAAUAUUCAGAAAACGAAGAUCAUGGCAUCUGGUCCCAUCACUUCAUGGGAAAUAGAUGGGGAAAUAGUGGAAACAGUGUCAGACUUUAUUUUGUGGGGCUCCAAAAUCACUGCAGAUGGUGACUGCAGCCAUGAAAUUAAAAGACGCUUACUCCUUGGAAAGAAAGUUAUGACCAACCUAGACAGUGUAUUCAAAAGCAGAGAUAUUACUUUGCUAACAAACGUCCAUCUAGUCAAGGCUUUGGUUUUUCCUGUGGUCAUGUAUGGAUGUGAGAGUUGGACUGUGAAGAAGGCUGAGCACCGAAGAAUUGAUGCUUUUGAACUGUAG
rnacentral:lncRNA from 1 species